rnacentral:lncRNA from 1 species
AUAGGAUAACGGAUGGGAAAUCACGCCAGUGGGACACCAACAGCACGUCGAGUUCAAAGAAGACCCUAAUUCACUCUGGGUCGGGACCUGCUGUGCUAACCAAGCUGCUUAGAAGACGAGGGAGCUUGGAUGCAUGUGGAGAGGACCAGACCAAAAUUCCUUCCCUACCAUGGUAGUCACCAGCCCUAUAUGGCUCCUCCCAGGAUCUAGACUGCCUGACUCUAGUUGACCAUUUGCACCUCUGGAUCUCUGUUUGAGACAACCACAGAUUCCCCACCUACAGCCUCCAGUGUGGUUGCUGCUUGUUGCCCGACCUGUUACCUACACGCAUGCGUAUCAUUGCAUGGUCCCAUUAUACAUCGUCAUACUCUCAACCCGCGUCAGGAUGGACAGCAGCGGCAUCACAGGCAUCAUCUAGAUCUGAUAGCCGACCACAUAAUAGAACACAGAGAUGGCCAUGCUCUGUUUGUGAGGCCUUCAGACAUCGAUGGUCCAGCACAGCCACACCCCAUUCGUGAGGCCUUUAGAUACAGCUGAUCGGAGCUCA